rnacentral:rRNA from 1 species
AUACGUAGGGGGCGAGCGUUGUCCGGAAUGAUUGGGCGUAAAGGGCGCGUAGGCGGCGCGGUAAGUCUGGAGUGAAAGUCCUGCUUUCGAGGUGGGAAUUGCUUUGGAUACUGCCGCGCUUGAGUGCAGGAGAGGUUAUCGGAAUUCCCGGUGUAGCGGUGAAAUGCGUAGAGAUCGGGAGGAACACCAGUGGCGAAGGCGGGUAACUGGACUGCAACUGACGCUGAGGCGCGAAGGUGUGGGGAGCAAACAGGAUUAGAUACCCUGGUAGUCCACACUGUAAACGAUGAAUGCUAGGUGUAAGAGGUAUCGACCCCUUUUGUGCCGGAGUCAACACAAUAAGCAUUCCGCCUGGGGAGUACGGCCGCAAGGUUGAAACUCAAAGGAAUUGACGGGG